AACGACAUCGAAAGCUUGCUUUUGAUGGGCGUCGACCGGCGCACGGGUGAGUAACGCGUAUCCAACCUGCCCAUCACUUGGGGAUAACCUUGCGAAAGUAAGACUAAUACCCAAUGAUAUCUCUAGAAGACAUCUGAAAGAGAUUAAAGAUUUAUCGGUGAUGGAUGGGGAUGCGUCUGAUUAGCUUGUUGGCGGGGUAACGGCCCACCAAGGCUACGAUCAGUAGGGGUUCUGAGAGGAAGGUCCCCCACAUUGGAACUGAGACACGGCCCAAACUCCUACGGGAGGCAGCAGUGAGGAAUAUUGGUCAAUGGACGAGAGUCUGAACCAGCCAAGUAGCGUGCAGGAUGACGGCCCUAUGGGUUGUAAACUGCUUUUAUAAGGGAAUAAAGUGAGUCUCGUGAGACUUUCUGCAUGUACCUUAUGAAUAAGGACCGGCUAAUUCCGUGCCAGCAGCCGCGGUAAUACGGAAGGUCCGGGCGUUAUCCGGAUUUAUUGGGUUUAAAGGGAGCGUAGGCCGGAGAUUAAGCGUGUUGUGAAAUGUAGACGCUCAACGUCUGCACUGCAGCGCGAACUGGUUUCCUUGAGUACGCACAAAGUGGGCGGAAUUCGUGGUGUAGCGGUGAAAUGCUUAGAUAUCACGAAGAACUCCGAUUGCGAAGGCAGCUCACUGGAGCGCAACUGACGCUGAAGCUCGAAAGUGCGGGUAUCGAACAGGAUUAGA
rnacentral:rRNA from 1 species